UCCCUGGUGGCUCAGAGGUUAAAGCGUCUGCCUGCAAUGCAGAAGACCUGGGUUCGAUCCCUAGGUAGGGGA
rnacentral:tRNA from 1 species